rnacentral:rRNA from 1 species
UGGGAACGCGAAGAACCUUACCUAGACUUGACAUCCCCUGAAUUACCUGUAAUGAGGGAAGUCCCUUCGGGGACAGGGAGACAGGUGGUGCAUGGUUGUCGUCAGCUCGUGUCGUGAGAUGUUGGGUUAAGUCCCGCAACGAGCGCAACCCUUAUCAUUAGUUGCUACCAUUAAGUUGAGCACUCUAAUGAGACUGCCCGGGUUAACCGGGAGGAAGGUGGGGAUGACGUCAAAUCAUCAUGCCCCUUAUGUCUAGGGCCACACACGUACUACAAUGGUGAGUACAACGAGAUGCGAACCCGCGAGGGGGAGCUAAACUCAAAAACUCAUCUCAGUUCGGAUUGCAGGCUGCAACUCGCCUGCAUGAAGCUGGAGUUGCUAGUAAUCGCGAAUCAGAAUGUCGCGGUGAAUACGUUCCCGGGUCUUGUACACACCG